GAUGAACGCUGGCGGCGUGCCUAAUACAUGCAAGUCGAGCGAACGGUCGAGAAGCUUGCUUCUCUGAUGUUAGCGGCGGACGGGUGAGUAACACGUGGAUAACCUACCUAUAAGACUGGGAUAACUUCGGGAAACCGGAGCUAAUACCGGAUAAUAUUUUGAACCGCAUGGUUUAAAAGUGAAAGACGGUCUUGCUGUCACUUAUAGAUGGAUCCGCGCUGCAUUAGCUAGUUGGUAAGGUAACGGCUUACCAAGGCAACGAUGCAUAGCCGACCUGAGAGGGUGAUCGGCCACACUGGAACUGAGACACGGUCCAGACUCCUACGGGAGGCAGCAGUAGGGAAUCUUCCGCGAUGGGCGAAAGCCUGACGGAGCAACGCCGCGUGAGUGAUGAAGGUCUUCGGAUCGUAAAACUCUGUUAUUAGGGAAGAACAUAUGUGUAAGUAACUGUGCACAUCUUGACGGUACCUAAUCAGAAAGCCACGGCUAACUACGUG
rnacentral:rRNA from 1 species